CCUAAGGUAGCGAAAUUCCUUGUCGGGUAAGUUCCGACCUGCACGAAUGGCGUAAUGAUGGCCAGGCUGUCUCCACCCGAGACUCAGUGAAAUUGAACUCGCUGUGAAGAUGCAGUGUACCCGCGGCAAGACGGAAAGACCCCGUGAACCUUUACUAUAGCUUGACACUGAACAUUGAGCCUUGAUGUGUAGGAUAGGUGGGAGGCUUAGAAGUGUGGACGCCAGUCUGCAUGGAGCCGACCUUGAAAUACCACCCUUUAAUGUUUGAUGUUCUAACGUUGACCCGUAAUCCGGGUUGCGGACAGUGUCUGGUGGGUAGUUUGACUGGGGCGGUCUCCUCCUAAAGAGUAACGGAGGAGCACGAAGGUUGGCUAAUCCUGGUCGGACAUCAGGAGGUUAGUGCAAUGGCAUAAGCCAGCUUGACUGCGAGCGUGACGGCGCGAGCAGGUGCGAAAGCAGGUCAUAGUGAUCCGGUGGUUCUGAAUGGAAGGGCCAUCGCUCAACGGAUAAAAGGUACUCCGGGGAUAACAGGCUGAUACCGCCCAAGAGUUCAUAUCGACGGCGGUGUUUGGCACCUCGAUGUCGGCUCAUCACAUCCUGGGGCUGAAGUAGGUCCCAAGGGUAUGGCUGUUCGCCAUUUAAAGUGGUACGCGAGCUGGGUUUAGAACGUCGUGAGACAGUUCGGUCCCUAUCUGCCGUGGGCGCUGGAGAACUGAGGGGGGCUGCUCCUAGUACGAGAGGACCGGAGUGGACGCAUCACUGGUGUUCGGGUUGUCAUGCCAAUGGCACUGCCCGGUAGCUAAAUGCGGAAGAGAUAAGUGCUGAAAGCAUCUAAGCACGAAACUUGCCCCGAGAUGAGUUCUCCCUGAC
rnacentral:rRNA from 1 species